rnacentral:rRNA from 1 species
GACGAAGGGGGCAAGCGUUGUUCGGAAUUACUGGGCGUAAAGCGAGUGUAGGUGGUUGUCAUAGUCAGGUGUGAAAGCCUUGAGCUCAACUCAAGAAAUGCACUUGAUACUGGGCAGCUAGAGGACCGGAGAGGAUAGUGGAAUUCCCAGUGUAGUGGUGAAAUACGUAGAGAGUGGGAAGAACACCAGUGGCGAAGGCGGCUAUCUGGGCAGAUACUGACGCUGAGGUGCGAAAGCGUGGGGAGCAAACAGGG